rnacentral:rRNA from 1 species
AUUGAACGCUGGCGGCAGGCCUAACACAUGCAAGUCGAGCGGAUGAAGGGAGCUUGCUCCUGGAUUCAGCGGCGGACGGGUGAGUAAUGCCUAGGAAUCUGCCUGGUAGUGGGGGAUAACGUCCGGAAACGGGCGCUAAUACCGCAUACGUCCUGAGGGAGAAAGUGGGGGAUCUUCGGACCUCACGCUAUCAGAUGAGCCUAGGUCGGAUUAGCUAGUUGGUGGGGUAAAGGCCUACCAAGGCGACGAUCCGUAACUGGUCUGAGAGGAUGAUCAGUCACACUGGAACUGAGACACGGUCCAGACUCCUACGGGAGGCAGCAGUGGGGAAUAUUGGACAAUGGGCGAAAGCCUGAUCCAGCCAUGCCGCGUGUGUGAAGAAGGUCUUCGGAUUGUAAAGCACUUUAAGUUGGGAGGAAGGGCAGUAAGUUAAUACCUUGUUGUUUUGACGUUACCAACAGAAUAAGCACCGGCUAACUUCGG